rnacentral:rRNA from 1 species
UACAGAGGGGGCAAGCGUUAUUCGGAAUUAUUGGGCGUAAAGGGCGCGUAGGCGGCCUGACAAGUGGAAGGUGAAAUCCCUCGGCUUAACCGAGGAACUGCCCUCCAAACUGUUUGGCUUGAGUCCGGGAGAGGUGAGUGGAAUUCCCAGUGUAGCGGUGAAAUGCGUAGAUAUCAGGAAGAACACCCGUGGCGAAGGCGGUUCUCUGGGACGGUACUGACGCUGAGACGCGAAAGCGUGGGGAGCGAACAGG